UUGAACGCUAGCGGCAUGCCUUACACAUGCAAGUCGAACGGCAGCACGGGGGGUAACCCCUGGUGGCGAGUGGCGAACGGGUGAGUAAUAUAUCGGAACGUGUCCUGUAGCGGGGGAUAACCUAUCGAAAGAUGGACUAAUACCGCAUACGACCUACGGGUGAAAGCGGAGGACCGCAAGGCUUCGCACUAUAGGAGCGGCCGAUAUCGGAUUAGCUAGUUGGCGGGGUAACGGCCCACCAAGGCGACGAUCCGUAGCUGGUCUGAGAGGACGAUCAGCCACACUGGAACUGAGACACGGUCCAGACUCCUACGGGAGGCAGCAGUGGGGAAUUUUGGACAAUGGGCGCAAGCCUGAUCCAGCCAUGCCGCGUGAGUGAAGAAGGCCUUCGGGUUGUAAAGCUCUUUCGGCGGGGACGAAACGGUUCGUGCUAAUACCACGGACUACUGACGGUACCCGCAGAAGAAGCACCGGCUAACUACGUG
rnacentral:rRNA from 1 species